UGGGAGGCAUUGAAAUUAUCUAGAAGAACAUGAAACACUUGUGGGUCUUCAUUUCCCUGCUGAUGGUUCCCAGUUGUGUCCUGUCACAGGUGCAGCUGAAGGAGUCAGGACCUGGGCUGCUGAAGCCUGCAGAGACCCUGUCCCUCACCUGUACUGUCUCUGGUGACUCCAUCAGCAGUAGUUACUGGUGGAGUUGGCUCCGUCAGAAACAAGGGAAAGGGCUGGAGUGGAUGGGCAGAAUCUAUAAUGACGGAGAUACCAACUACAACCCAUCACUCAAGAGUAGGAUCACUAUGACAGUAGACACAUCCAAGAACCAAUUCUCCCUGAGGCUGAGGUCUGUGAGCACCGAAGACACAGCUGUGUAUUAUUGUGCAAGAGACACAGUGGCAUGA